UACAGAGGUCUCAAGCGUUGUUCGGAUUCAUUGGGCGUAAAGGGUGCGUAGGCGGCGCGGUAAGUCGGGUGUGAAAUCUCGGAGCUUAACUCCGAAACUGCAUUCGAUACUGCCGUGCUUGAGGACUGGAGAGGAGACUGGAAUUCCUGGUGUAGCGGUGGAAUGCGCAGAUAUCAGGAGGAACACCGAAGGCGAAGGCAGUGUCCUGGCGAGUAUCCUGACGCUGAGGUGCGAAAGCCAGGGGAGCGAACGGG
rnacentral:rRNA from 1 species